ACGUACACUCCUACGGGAGGCAGCAGUGGGGAAUAUUGGACAAUGGGCGCAAGCCUGAUCCAGCCAUGCCGCGUGAGUGAUGAAGGCCCUAGGGUUGUAAAGCUCUUUCACCGGUGAAGAUAAUGACGGUAACCGGAGAAGAAGCCCCGGCUAACUUCGUGCCAGCAGCCGCGGUAAUACGAAGGGGGCUAGCGUUGUUCGGAUUUACUGGGCGUAAAGCGCACGUAGGCGGACUAUUAAGUCAGGGGUGAAAUCCCGGGGCUCAACCCCGGAACUGCCUUUGAUACUGGUAGUCUUGAGGUCGAGAGAGGUGAGUGGAAUUCCGAGUGUAGAGGUGAAAUUCGUAGAUAAUCGGAGGAACACCAGUGGCGAAGGCGGCUCACUGGCUCGAUACUGACGCUGAGGUGCGAAAGCGUGGGGAGCAAACAGGAUUAGAUACCCGUGUAGUCCCAUGAU
rnacentral:rRNA from 1 species